AGUAGUCAUUCAGGAGCAGGUUGUUCAGUUUCCAUGUAGUUGAGCGGUUUUGAGUGAGUUUCUUAAUCCUGAGUUCUAGUUAGAUUGCACUGUGGUCUGAGAGACAGUUUGUUAUAAUUUCUGUUCUUUUACAUUUGCUGAGGAGUGCUUUACUUCCAAGUAUGUGGUCAAUUUUGGAGUAGGUGUGGUGUGGUGCUGAAAAGAAAGUAUAUUCUGUUGAUUUGGGGUGGAGAGUUCUGUAGAUGUCUAUUAGGUUUGCUUGGUGCAGAGCUGAGUUCAGUUCCUGGAUAUCCUUGUUAACUUUCUGUCUGAUUGAUCUGUCUAAUGUUGACAGUGGGGUGUUACAGUCUGCCAUUAUUAUUGUGUGGGAGUCUAAGUCUCUUUGUAGGUCACUAAGGACUUGCUUUAUGAAUCUGGGUGCUCCUGUAUUGGGUGCAUACAUAUUUAGGAUAGUUAGCUCUUGUUGAAUUGAUCCCUUUACCAUUAUGUAAUGGCCUUCUUUGUCUCUUUUGAUCUUUGUUGGUUUAAAGUCUGUUUUAUCAGAGACUAGGAUUGCAACCCCUGCCCUUUUUUGUUUUCCAUUUGCUGGUAGAUCUUCCUCCAUCUCUUUAUUUUGAGCCUAUGUGUGUCUCUGCACGUGAGAUGGGUUUCCUGAAUACAGCACACUGAUGGGUCUUGAGUCUUUAUCCAAUUUGCCAGUCUGUGUCUUUUCAUUGGAGCAUUUAGCCCAUUUACAUUUAAAGUUAAUAUUGUUAUGUGUGAAUUUGAUCCUGUCAUUGUAACAAAAUCAGCAUUUGCUUGUCUGUAAAGGAUUUUACUUCUCCUUCACUUAUAAAGCUCAGUUUGGCUGGAUAUGAAAUUCUGGGUUGAAAGUUCUUUUCUUUAAGAAUGUUGAAUAUUGGUCCCCACUCUCUUCUGUCUUGUAGAGUUUCUGCCGAGAGAUCAGCUGUUAAUCUGAUGGGCUUCCCUUUGUGGGUAACCCGACCUUUCUCUCUGGCUGCCCUUAACAUUUUUUCCGUCAUUUCAACUUUGGUGAAUCUGACAAUUAUGUGUCUUGGAGUUGCUCUUCUUGAGGAGUAUCUUUGUGGUGUUCUCUGUAUUUCCUGAAUUUGAAAGUUGGCCUACCUUCCUAGAUUGGGGAAGUUCUCCUGGAUAAUAUCCUGCAGAGUGUUUUCCAACUUAGUUCCAUUCUCCCCGUCACUUU
rnacentral:lncRNA from 1 species